AUUCUUACUUCACAAAGGUAUUGAAACAAGACUUUAAUUGAGUGCUAAGAGAAUGGAAAAAUGAUAAAAAUCUUUAUUAUUAAAAAUAAUAAAAUUUAUAAUAAAAAUAAAAAAUUUUUUAUAAAAUUAUUAGACAAGAAGACCCUAUGAAUCUUAAUUUUUUAAAAAAUUUAAUUGGGGUGAUUAAAAAAUAUAAAAAAACUUUAUUUUUAAAGUUAAUUUUAAAAUAAAUAAAAAGAUACUCUAGGGAUAACAGCGUUAUUAUUUUGGAAAGAUCACAUUAAUAAAAUAGUUUGCGACCUCG
rnacentral:rRNA from 1 species